rfam:Bacillus methanolicus MGA3, complete genome.
AAGUCCUUUAACACAGUCCCGUGAGGCUGAGAAGGAAACGGAUUCGAGCAUAUAAAGGGUGUACUAUGCCCAGAUCUAUAUGCCUUCAAUGAACACGUACCCUCUCGCCGCAGCGGCGAGAGGGUUUUUUAAU